rnacentral:snoRNA from 1 species
GUCUCUGAUGAUGAUAAAAAAAUAUAACUUUCGUUCUUCUGAGAUUAAUCAUGCGGAAAGUUAUGGAGACCUGAACUGAAGAGAC